rnacentral:rRNA from 1 species
CGCGUAGGCGGCCCUAUAAGUCAGAUGUGAAAGCCCGGGGCUUAACCCCGGAAGUGCAUUUGAAACUAUAGGGCUUGAGUAUGGGAGAGGGAAGUGGAAUUCCUGGUGUAGAGGUGAAAUUCGUAGAUAUCAGGAGGAACACCGGUGGCGAAGGCGACUUCCUGGACCAAUACUGACGCUGAGGCGCGAAGGCGUGGGGAGCAAACAGGAUUAGAUACCCUGGUAGUCC